GCUCGUAGUUGGAUUUCUGGCAGGGUGACUCUGCCCUCUUGAUGAGUGCGCAGUGUUGCCCUACCAUCCUUCUGUUAACCCUUUAGGCCUUAAAAAGUCUUUUGGGGGCUCAGAUAUUUUACCUUGAGAAAAUUAGAGUGUUUCAGGCAGGCUAGCGCCGGAAUACAUUAGCAUGGAAUAAUAGAAUAGGACUUUUACCUCUUCUGUUGGUCUGAGGGGUUCAAGUAAUGAUUAAUAGGGAUAGUUGGGGGCAUUAGUACUUUACUGUCAGAGGUGAAAUUCUCGGAUUUGUAAAAGACUAACUUAUGCGAAAGCAUUUGCCAAGGAUGUUUUCAUUAAUCAAGAACGAAAGUUAGGGGAUCAAAUACGAUCAGAUACCGUCGUAGUCUCAACCAUAAACUAUACCGACUCAGGAUGCGUGAACGUUGUUUUAUUGACUUCAUGCGCACUGUAUGAGAAAAUCAAAGUCUUUGGGUUCUGGGGGGGAGUAUGGUCGCAAGGCUGAAAACUUAAAGGAAUUGACGGGAAGGGCACCACCAGGGAGUGGAGCCUGCGGCUUUAUUUUGACUCAACACGGGGAAAACUUACCAGGUCCGGGACAUAGUGAGGAUUGACAGAUUGAAGAUCUUUCUUGAUUCUAUGGGGUGGUGGUGCAUGGCCGUUCUUAGUUGGUGGAGUGAUUUGUCUGGGUUAAUUCCGUUAACGAACGAGACCUCGACCUGCUAAAUAGCUACCCCGUUUCACAACGGUAUAGCUUCUUAGAGGGACUUUAGCAGCGAAGGCUACAGGAAGUUCGAGGCAAUAACAGGUCUGUGAUGCCUUUAGAUGUCUGGGCCGCACGCCCCCUACACUGACAAGUUCAUCGAGAUUCAC
rnacentral:rRNA from 1 species